rnacentral:rRNA from 1 species
AGAAUCAACGCUGGCGGCGUGCCUAACACAUGCAAGUCGCACGAGAAAGGGACUUCGGUCUUGAGUAAAGUGGCGCACGGGUGAGUAACACGUGAAUCAUCUACCUCCGAAUGGGGAAUAACUGAGAGAAAUCUUAGCUAAUACCGCAUAAUACCCACGGGUCAAAGCAGCAAUGCGCUUGGAGAGGAGUUCGCGGCAGAUUAGUUAGUUGGCGGGGUAAUGGCCCACCAAGACGAUGAUCUGUA